rnacentral:rRNA from 1 species
UAAGGGUCAUGAGAUGGAGAUCCUUCACACAGGUAUUGAGACAGGGACCAGACUCUUACGGGAGGCAGCAAUGAGGAAUAUUGGUCAAUGGUCGGAAGACUGAACCAGCCAUGCCGCGUGCAGGAAGACGGCCUUAUGGGUUGUAAACUGCUUUUGCAAGGGAAGAAUAAGCUCUACGAGUAGAGUGAUGACGGUACUUUGCGAAUAAGCAUCGGCUAACUCCGUGCCAGCAGCCGCGGUAAUACGGAGGAUGCGAGCGUUAUCCGGAAUCAUUGGGUUUAAAGGGUCUGUAGGCGGGUUGUUAAGUCAGGGGUGAAUGUUUGCGGCUUAACCGUAAAAUUGCCUUUGAUACUGGCUAUCUUGAAUUAUUGUGAAGUUGUUAGAAUGUGUAGUGUAGCGGUGAAAUGCAUAGAUAUUACACAGAAUACCGAUUGCGAAGGCAGAUGACUAACAAUAGAUUGACGCUGAGAGACGAAAGCGUGGGGAGAAAACAGGAUUAGAUACCCUGGUAGUCCACGCUGUAAACGAUAGAGGCUAGCUGUUUGGCAUUAUAGUUGAGUGGCUAAGCGAAAGUGAUAAG